rnacentral:rRNA from 1 species
UGGGGAAUCUUGCACAAUGGGGGCAACCCUGAUGCAGCGACGCCGCGUGAGCGAUGAAGCCCUUCGGGGCGUAAAGCUCUUUCGACCGGAACGAUAAUGACGGUACCGGGAGAAGAAGCUGCGGCUAACUACGUGCCAGCAGCCGCGGUAAUACGUAGGCAGCAAGCGUUGUUCGGAGUUACUGGGCGUAAAGAGUGCGUAGGCGGUUUUCUAAGUGCGGUGUGAAAUCUCCCGGCUUAACUGGGAGGGUGCGCCGAAGACUGGGAAGCUGGAGUGGGGGAAAGGCAGGCGGAAUUCCUGGUGUAGCGGUGAAAUGCGUAGAUAUCAGGAGGAACACCGGCGGUGUAGACGGCUUGCUAGACCAUAACUGACGCUGAGGCACGAAAGCGUGGGUAGCAAACA